AUUAGCUCAAUUGGUAGAGCAACUGACUCUUAAUCAGUGGGUUCGGGGUUCGAGUCCCUGAU
rnacentral:tRNA from 2 species